AUUGAACGCUGGCGGAAUGCUUUACACAUGCAAGUCGAGCGGCAGCGCGGGGCAACCUGGCGGCGAGCGGCGAACGGGUGAGUAAUGCAUCGGAACGUACCCCGUCGUGGGGGAUAACUACCCGAAAGGGUAGCUAAUACCGCAUACGACCUGAGGGUGAAAGCGGGGGACCGAAAGGCCUCGCGCGAUGGGAGCGGCCGAUGCCGGAUUAGCUAGUUGGUAGGGUAAAGGCCUACCAAGGCGACGAUCCGUAGCUGGUCUGAGAGGACGACCAGCCACACUGGAACUGAGACACGGUCCAGACUCCUACGGGAGGCAGCAGUGGGGAAUUUUGGACAAUGGGCGAAAGCCUGAUCCAGCCAUUCCGCGUGAGUGAAGAAGGCCUCGGUUGUAAGACUCUUUCGGUCAGGAACGAAACGGUAGGAAGG
rnacentral:rRNA from 1 species